rnacentral:rRNA from 1 species
AUUGAACGCUGGCGGCAGGCCUAACACAUGCAGGUCGAGCGGUAACACAGGGAGCUUGCUCUCGGGUGACGAGCGGCGGACGGGUGAGUAAUGUCUGGGAAACUGCCUGAUGGAGGGGGAUAACUACUGGAAACGGUAGCUAAUACCGCAUAACGUAGCAAGACCAAAGAGGGGGACCUUCGGGCCUCUUGCCAUCAGAUGUGCCCAGAUGGGAUUAGCUAGUAGGUGGGGUAACGGCUCACCUAGGCGACGAUCCCUAGCUUGUCUGAGAGGAUGACCAGCCACACUGGAACUGAGACACGGUCCAGACUCCUACGGGAGGCAGCAGUGGGGAAUAUUGCACAAUGGCGCAAGCCUGAUGCAGCCAUGCCGCGUGUAUGAAGAAGGCCUUCGGGUUGUAAAGUACUUUCAGCGGGGAGGAAGGUGUUGAGGUUAAUAACCUCAGCAAUUGACGUUACCCGCAGAAGAAGCACCGGCUAACUCCGUGCCAGCCGCCGCAGUAA